rnacentral:rRNA from 1 species
AGUGGCGGACGGGUGAGUAACACGUGAGAAUUUGCCUUUAGGAGGGGGAUAACAAUUGGAAACAAAUGCUAAUACCCCAUAUGCUUUUGAGUGAAAUGGAUUUAUCCGCCUAGAGAGAAGCUCGCGGCUGAUUAGCUUGUUGGUAAGGUAAGAGCUUACCAAGGCGACGAUCAGUAUCUGGUUUGAGAGGACGAUCAGACACACUGGAACUGAGACACGGUUCAGACUCCUACGGGAGGCAGCAGUGGGGAAUUUUCCGCAAUGGGCGAAAGCCUGACGGAGCAAUACCGCGUGAGGGAAGACUGCCUAUGGGUUGUAAACCUCUUUUUUCAGGGAGGAAUAAAAUGACGUGUACCUGAAGAAUAAGCAUCGGCUAACUCCGUGCCAGCAGCCGCGGUAAGACGGAGGAUGCAAGUGUUAUCCGGAAUCACUGGGCGUAAAGCGUCUGUAGGUUGUUUAAUAAGUCAACUGUUAAAGCUUGGGGCUCAACUUCAAAAUCGCAGUCGAAACUAUUAGACUAGAGUAUAGUAGAGGUAAAGGGAAUUUCCAGUGGAGCGGUGAAAUGCGUAGAUAUUGGAAAGAACACCGAUUGCGAAAGCACUUUACUGGGCUAUUACUAACACUCAGAGACGAAAGCUAGGGUAGCAAAUGGGAUUAGAUACCCCAGUAGUCCUAGCCGUAAACAAUGGAUACUAGAUGU